GAUGAAGAACGUAGUGAAAUGCGAUAAGUAAUGUGAAUUGCAGAAUUCAGUGAAUCAUCGAAUCUUUGAACGCACAUUGCGCCCGUCAGUAUUCUGGCGGGCAUGCCUGUUCGAGCGUCAUUACGCCCCUCAAGUCCCCUGUGGACUUGGUGUUGGGGAUCGGAGAGGCUGGUUUUCCAGCACAGCCGUCCCUUAAAUUAAUUGGCGGUCUCGCCGUGGCCCUCCUCUGCGCAGUAGUAAAACACUCGCAACAGGAGCCCGGCGCGGUCCACUGCCGUAAAACCCCCCAACUUUUUAUAGUUGACCUCGAAUCAGGUAGGACUACCCGCUGAACUUAAGCAUAUCAAUAAGCGGAGGA
rnacentral:misc_RNA from 1 species